AUUGAACGCUGGCGGCAGGCCUAACACAUGCAAGUCGAACGAGUGGCGGACGGGUGAGUAAUGUCUGGGAAACUGCCUGAUGGAGGGGGAUAACUACUGGAAACGGUAGCUAAUACCGCAUACCCUCGGAUGUGCCCAGAUGGGAUUAGCUAGUCGGUGGGGUAACGGCUCACCUAGGCGCCGAUCCCUAGCUGGUCUGAGCGGAUGACCAGCCGCACUGGAACGGUGACACGGUCCAGACUCCUACGGGAGGCAGCAGUGGGGAAUAUUGCACAAUGGGCGCAAGCCUGAUGCAGCCAUGCCGCGUGUAUGAAGAAGGCCUUCGGGUUGUAAAGUACUUUCAGCGGGGAGGCGUUACCCGAAGAAGAAGCACCGGCUAACUCCGUGCGAGCAGCCGCGGUAAUAC
rnacentral:rRNA from 1 species